AGCAGCCGCGGUAAUUCCAGCUCCAAUAGCGUAUAUUAAAGUUGUUGCAGUUAAAAGCUCGUAGUUGAAUUUCGGGAUCAAUAUGUUGGUCGUGCCUCGGUACGUACUAGCAUAUUGGUUUCUCCUUUCUGAAGAACCAUGAUGUCAUUUAUUUGGUGUCGUGGGGAAUCAGGACUGUUACUUUGAAAAAUUAGAGUGUUUAAAGCAGGCUCACGCUUGAAUACAUUAGCAUGGAAUAAUGAAAUAGGACGUUUGAUUCUAUUUUGUUGGUUUCUAGGAUCGACGUAAUGAUUAAUAGGGAUAGUUGGGGGCAUUAGUAUUCAAUUGUCAGAGGUGAAAUUCUUGGAUUUAUUGAAGACUAACUACUGCGAAAGCAUUUGCCAAGGAUGUUUUCAUUAAUCAAGAACGAAAGUUAGGGAUCGAAGACGAUCAGAUACCGUCGUAGUCUUAACCAUAAACUAUGCCGACU
rnacentral:misc_RNA from 1 species